CGACCGGCGCACGGGUGAGUAACGCGUAUCCAACCUGCCUUACACUCUUGGACAGCCUUCUGAAAGGGAGAUUAAUACAGGAUGUUAUCAUGAGUAAGCAUUUUCACAUGAUUAAAGGUUUACCGGUGUAAGAUGGGGAUGCGUUCCAUUAGAUAGUAGGCGGGGUAACGGCCCACCUAGUCUUCGAUGGAUAGGGGUUCUGAGAGGAAGGUCCCCCACAUUGGAACUGAGACACGGUCCAA
rnacentral:rRNA from 1 species